rnacentral:rRNA from 1 species
UACGAAGGGGGCUAGCGUUGCUCGGAAUCACUGGGCGUAAAGCGCACGUAGGCGGCUUUCUAAGUCAGGGGUGAAAUCCUGGAGCUCAACUCCAGAACUGCCUUUGAUACUGAGAAUCUUGAGUAUGGGAGAGGUGAGUGGAACUGCGAGUGUAGAGGUGAAAUACUUAGAUAUGACGCAGAACACCCAUUGCGAAGGCAGCUCGCUACACCGGCAUUGACACUGAGGCACGAAAGCGUGGGGAGCAAACAGG